rnacentral:rRNA from 1 species
GAUGAACGCUAGCGGCAGGCCUAACACAUGCAAGUCGAGGGGUAGAAGGAGCUUGCUCCUUUGAGACCGGCGCACGGGUGCGUAACGCGUAUGCAAUCUACCUUGUACAGGGGAAUAGCCCAGAGAAAUUUGGAUUAAUGCCCCAUAGUAUAUAACCUUCGCAUGUUGGUUAUAUUAAAGUUCCAACGGUACAAGAUGAGCAUGCGUCCCAUUAGUUAGUUGGUAAGGUAACGGCUUACCAAGACGAUGAUGGGUAGGGGUCCUGAGAGGGAGAUCCCCCACACUGGUACUGAGACACGGACCAGACUCCUACGGGAGGCAGCAGUGAGGAAUAUUGGUCAAUGGUCGCAAGACUGAUCCAGCCAUGCCGCGUGCAGGAAGACGGUCCUAUGGAUUGUAAACUGCUUUUAUACAGGAAGAAACCCUCCCACGUGUGGGAGCUUGACGGUACUGUAGGAAUAAGGAUCGGCUAACUCCGUG